UGAUACUGUUGCAUUUCUAACACUUUUCUUACACUACUGUAGCUCUGAACGCUUUAUUAGGAACAGUUGGAAUUCAGACUAAAUGCAUUACCUAACGUUUAGACCACACAAACUGAUCUCAGCAUGAUUUCAAUGUAGUUUAAUCAGUAACACAUUCAAUAACACAUACAAAUUAAAGCCUUUAGUUUGAUUGAAGAGCCGAGUCUUACUCUGCAAAACCCCGUGGAUAAAACUAGAGCAUUUAAACAAAGAUUCACACAAUGCAAAUAUGACUACUGACCUUAUAUUUAGGUGAAUUAUAGCACAGUGUCACAGUUCCACCCUCACUGAAUGAAUGUACGCUCCCGCGGCCAGGGGAUACACUCCUUAGCGGGGAUACAUACCUUGGCACAAC